AAUUUAAGUAUAUUAAGGGCAUUUGGUGGAUGCCUUGGCGCUAAAAGGCGAUGAAGGACGUAGUACGCUGCGAUAAGCUUCGGGGAGAUGCGAACAAUCUUUGAUCCGAGGAUUUCCGAAUGGGGGAACCCAUCUGAUUUAUCAGAUAUUAUAUAAUGAAUAAAUAGUUAUAUAAAGCAAACCCAGUGAACUGAAAUAUCUAAGUAACUGGAGGAAAGGACAUCAACCGAGACUCCGUUAGUAGUGACGAGCGAAAGCGGACCAGGCCAGUGGUUAUAUUUUAAGAAUUAGAAUGAUUUGGAAAAAUCAGCUAUAAAAGGUGAUAGCCCUGUAUAAGUAGAAAUAAAUAUAAUCCUUGAGUAAGGCGGGACACGUGAAAUCCUGUUUGAAAAUGGGGGGACCACCCUCCAAGCCUAAGUACUCUUUAGCGACCGAUAGUGAACAAGUACCGUGAGGGAAAGGUGAAAAGUACCCCGAUUAGGGGAGUGAAAUAGUUUCUGAAACCAAAUGCCUACAAGCAGUCGGAGCAGAAUUAAUUGCUUGCAAUUAAUCAAUCUGUGACGGCGUACCUCUUGUAUAAUGGGUCAGCGAGUUAGUUUAUCGAGCAAGCUUAAGCCGUUAGGUGUAGGCGUAGCGAAAGCAAGUCUUAAUAGGGCGCAUUAGUUCGAUGAAUUAGACCCGAAACCGAGUGAUCUAGCCAUGAUCAGGUUGAAGAUGCAGUAACAUGCAUUGGAGGACCGAACCCACUACUGUUGAAAAAGUAGGGGAUGAAUUGUGGCUAGGGGUGAAAGGCCAAUCAAACUCGGAAAUAGCUGGUUCUCCGCGAAAUCUAUUUAGGUAGAGCGUUAUAUGAUUAUCAUUGGGGGUAGAGCACUGGAUCGGCUAGGGGGGCCCAAAGCCUUACCAAACCUAACCAAACUCCGAAUACCGAUGAAUACAGUAUAGCAGACAGACCAUGGGUGCUAAGGUCCGUGGUCGAAAGGGAAACAGCCCAGACCGCCAUCUAAGGUCCCCAAAUUAUGACUAAGUGUGAAAGGAUGUGAGAAGACCAAAACAACUAGGAGGUUGGCUUAGAAGCAGCCAUCCUUUGAAGAAAGCGUAAUAGCUCACUAGUCUAAAUAAGUCUUUUUGCGCCUAAAAUGUAACGGGGCUAAAGUCAUAUACCGAAGAUGCGGAUGCAUAUCUAUGAU
rnacentral:rRNA from 1 species